AAAUUGAAGAGUUUGAUCAUGGCUCAGAUUGAACGCUGGCGGCAGGCCUAACACAUGCAAGUCGAGCGGUAGCACAGAGAGCUUGCUCUCGGGUGACGAGCGGCGGACGGGUGAGUAAUGUCUGGGAAACUGCCUGAUGGAGGGGGAUAACUACUGGAAACGGUAGCUAAUACCGCAUAACGUCGCAAGACCAAAGUGGGGGACCUUCGGGCCUCAUGCCAUCAGAUGUGCCCAGAUGGGAUUAGCUAGUAGGUGGGGUAAUGGCUCACCUAGGCGACGAUCCCUAGCUGGUCUGAGAGGAUGACCAGCCACACUGGAACUGAGACACGGUCCAGACUCCUACGGGAGGCAGCAGUGGGGAAUAUUGCACAAUGGGCGCAAGCCUGAUGCAGCCAUGCCGCGUGUGUGAAGAAGGCCUUCGGGUUGUAAAGCACUUUCAGCGGGGAGGAAGGCGUUAAGGUUAAUAACCUUGGCGAUUGACGUUACCCGCAGAAGAAGCACCGGCUAACUCCGUGCCAGCAGCCGCGGUAAUACGGAGGGUGCAAGCGUUAAUCGGAAUUACUGGGCGUAAAGCGCACGCAGGCGGUCUGUCAAGUCGGAUGUGAAAUCCCCGGGCUCAACCUGGGAACUGCAUUCGAAACUGGCAGGCUAGAGUCUUGUAGAGGGGGGUAGAAUUCCAGGUGUAGCGGUGAAAUGCGUAGAGAUCUGGAGGAAUACCGGUGGCGAAGGCGGCCCCCUGGACAAAGACUGACGCUCAGGUGCGAAAGCGUGGGGAGCAAACAGGAUUAGAUACCCUGGUAGUCCACGCCGUAAACGAUGUCGAUUUGGAGGUUGUGCCCUUGAGGCGUGGCUUCCGGAGCUAACGCGUUAAAUCGACCGCCUGGGGAGUACGGCCGCAAGGUUAAAACUCAAAUGAAUUGACGGGGGCCCGCACAAGCGGUGGAGCAUGUGGUUUAAUUCGAUGCAACGCGAAGAACCUUACCUGGUCUUGACAUCCACAGAACUUUCCAGAGAUGGAUUGGUGCCUUCGGGAACUGUGAGACAGGUGCUGCAUGGCUGUCGUCAGCUCGUGUUGUGAAAUGUUGGGUUAAGUCCCGCAACGAGCGCAACCCUUAUCCUUUGUUGCCAGCGGUUCGGCCGGGAACUCAAAGGAGACUGCCAGUGAUAAACUGGAGGAAGGUGGGGAUGACGUCAAGUCAUCAUGGCCCUUACGACCAGGGCUACACACGUGCUACAAUGGCAUAUACAAAGAGAAGCGACCUCGCGAGAGCAAGCGGACCUCAUAAAGUAUGUCGUAGUCCGGAUUGGAGUCUGCAACUCGACUCCAUGAAGUCGGAAUCGCUAGUAAUCGUAGAUCAGAAUGCUACGGUGAAUACGUUCCCGGGCCUUGUACACACCGCCCGUCACACCAUGGGAGUGGGUUGCAAAAGAAGUAGGUAGCUUAACCUUCGGGAGGGCGCUUACCACUUUGUGAUUCAUGACUGGGGUGAAGUCGUAACAAGGUAACCGUAGGGGAACCUGCGGUUGGAUCACCUCCUUA
rnacentral:rRNA from 1 species